GACGAACGCUGGCGGCGUGCUUAACACAUGCAAGUCGAACGGAAAGGCCCUGCUUUUGUGGGGUGCUCGAGUGGCGAACGGGUGAGUAACACGUGAGUAACCUGCCCUUGACUUUGGGAUAACUUCAGGAAACUGGGGAUAAUACCGCAUAGGAGCUCCUGCUGCCUGGAGGGGGGUGGAAAGUUUCGGCGGUUGGGGAUGGACUCGCGGGUUAUCAGCUUGUGGGUGGGGUAGUGGCUUACCAAGGCUUUGACGGGUAGCCGGCCUGAGAGGGUGACCGGCCACCAUGGGACUGAGGUACGGCCCAGACUCCUACGGUAGGCAGCGGGGGGGAAUAUUGCACAAUGGGCGGGAGCGUGAUACAGCGGCGCGGCGUGCGGGAUGAAGGCCUUGGGGGUAUAAACCGCUUUAGCCUGUGACGAAGCGUGCGUGACGGUAAUGAGAGAAGAAGCACCGGCUAACUACGUG
rnacentral:rRNA from 1 species